GAUAAACGCUGGCGGCGUGCCUAACACAUGCAAGUCGAACGUCCUGUGUCUUUCGAGACGCAGGGAGUGGCGGACGGGUGAGUAACGCGUGGGUACCUACCUUCGAGUGAGGAAUACUGGCGAGAAAUCGCCAACAAUGCCGCAUAGGUUUGCGCAAGCAAGCAAAGCCGCAAGGCGCUCGAAGAUGGGCCUACGUCCGAUUAGCUGGUUGGUGGGGUAAUGGCCUACCAAGGUGACGAUCGGUCGCUGGUCUGAGAGGAUGAUCAGCCACACUGGG
rnacentral:rRNA from 1 species